rnacentral:rRNA from 1 species
UACGAAGGGGGCUAGCGUUGUUCGGAAUUACUGGGCGUAAAGGCUCGUAGGCGGCCAACUAAGUCAGACGUGAAAUCCCUCGGCUUAACCGGGGAACUGCGUCUGAUACUGGAUGGCUAGAGGUUGGGAGAGGGAUGCGGAAUUCCAGGUGUAGCGGUGAAAUGCGUAGAUAUCUGGAGGAACACCGGUGGCGAAGGCGGCAUCCUGGACCAAUUCUGACGCUGAGGAGCGAAAGCCAGGGAGCAAAGCGGG